GGGGUUGUGGCUCAGUGGUAGAGCACUUGCCUAGCAUGUGUGAGACACUGGGUUGGAUCCCCAGCACCA
rnacentral:tRNA from 1 species